CAUCCAUGUUGAAGCAAAUCGAUUUCCAAGGAAAGUUGCUGAGUUGUGCAAAAUGGUGAAAAAAAAAAAGGCUCUGUUGGGUCAUGCAAAAUGGUGAAGGAAGACUGUUGGAUUCUGAUUUGCCUCAAUUUUCUUAGGUUCGAUUGUGAUUUGCCUUUGCUUUUCUGAGGUUUUUCUUAGUUUUUAUUCUGAUUUGCCUUAAUUUUAUUGGGUUUUCUUAUGUUGGAUUCUAAUUUUGUUGUGUUGUCAACGGAAAAAUGGUAUGGUAGAGAAUUUGGGUAUUUGUUUGCAGAGGGAAGAAGGGAUAGAGGUGGGGAGAGGGGUUCAGAUAUUCCUAUUGCAAAGUGAGAGAGAAAGCGAGAUAAGGUGACAAGGAGAGAGAAAAAAGAUGGAUUUAUUUAUUAACAAUAUUUAGUCAAUUUAAUAUUUUUUUAUUAUAUUCAUUAGAAAAAAGAUACAACGUCAAAAAUGAUAAAAAAG
rnacentral:misc_RNA from 1 species